rnacentral:lncRNA from 1 species
GGUUUCAAAGUUCCAUUAGAUCUUGUGACAUAACUUCAGUUGAUGUUUCAAAAUUUACUCAAUCCUACUCUUUAAAUAACAAUUGUAAACUAAAAGUUACAAAGCCUUGUGAGACUAAGAUUGACACACUUUGAUAUUCUUCUUUGAAGUUGCGUAGUGUCUUCUUUCUUUCAUUUUGGCCUGUAUAGUCUUCUGUUGUAUAUGCUUCUUUUCUUCAUUUGAAAACCCAAGAUAUUUCUUUUCAAUCAAGGGUUUGAGUUUAUUUCUUGAUUGAGGAAGUUUGUACCUUAUGGUAUGUCCAUAUCAGAUAUGUCCAUACUUGGUGCGAUUUUCCUUUCUCCCAUCUAUACAUGUUCAUAUCAGAUAUGUCAAUGUAAGUAGUGAGAUCUUCCUUUUCCUUUGAUCUUGUUGUGAGGUGCAUCCAAUUGCCUUGUCUAUUGGGAUCCUUAGUUGAUAUAAUUUUUGUUUCAUAUCAAGUGAUGUCCUAUUGUUGAUGUGGCUCUAUAUUUAGCAUGAUAAUCUUUGAGAGAAAAUUCUUUGCCUUAUGCGAGAUAUCCUCUUAUGAUUUGAGAUCUUCAAUGUUCUUUGUGUGAGAUCUUCUUCCAUCAUUAGGGAUCUUCAAUAUCUUUGAUGUGGCUCCAUACUUAGCACGGUAUUCUUGUGUAAGAUAUCCUUCCAUGAUUUGAGAUCUCCAAUGUCCUUUGUGUGAGAUCUCCUUCCAUUAUUAGGGAUCGUCAAUAUCCUGCAAAGUUUACUUAAUAUAGGAGGAUAACCAAUGAACAUACAAAAAAACUAAAACAUAAAAAAAAUGAAAAUAGAGAAAAGAAAAAGAAAAAAAGAAAAAUAAUGGUGAAGACAAAUACAAGCAGUCUUCCGUGACUUAAACUCGACGUAGCCACAUUAUUCAAAAACACAAAAAAAUAUAAAUUAUAAAAUACAACCAAAAAGGAAAACAUGAGAUAGAAAAAGAAACAAUAAAAGGAAACUAAAAAGGAAAAAAUGAAAAAAAAA